GCAGAGUCCGCCCCUCCGCAACGCCAAGGCCGGGGCCGCCGCCGGGGCUUCGCAGCAGCUGCUCCCGGCUCAAGUCCUGCCCAAAUAACGCCCUCGUUCUCCCCGCCUCGGGCGCCCGAGGUUCCUUGUUUGUUAAAUGGCCUAGAAGAGACUCCGCUGCCUCUCGAGCUCGCAAACAGGCUGCUGCUCCCUGACUUCUCCUUCUCCUUCCCCACAGGAAAACCCCUUACCUGCUUCACACCGGCGCCAGGUGGUCCCAGAGCCGAGACAGACAUUGCGGGACCCAUGUUACAGUCAUGAAGCCCGGCUAGGAAUCAAACCGGUCUCAACGUUGCUGUUAUUUUUGGCUUACAUGUGUAUUAAGAUUUUGGCUUACAAAAGAAAGUCUCCUGGAGGAGGCCCCAGUACAUGUUCCUCCAACAGAAUAAAGUACUCUUUUUGAUUAUGAC